rnacentral:misc_RNA from 1 species
GUACGCUCUUUAGAUGGUGAGAAGGUGUCCAAAUAAUGCAUCGUUAUCUAUAUAUAUAAAAGAGAAAGGUAAAUAACUCACGCAUCACGAGAACUCAAAAACCGCUGGAUGGUCUAUCCAUCCAGGUUAGACAAAGAUAAAAUUUGGCAGGGAGGUAGAAUAUAGUUAGCAAACGUCCGCUAAGAACGGAUUUUACGAUAUUCCACCGCUAAGGGGG